AUUGAACGCUGGCGGCAUGCUUUACACAUGCAAGUCGAACGGCAGCGCGGGCUUCGGCCUGGCGGCGAGUGGCGAACGGGUGAGUAAUGCAUCGGAACGUGCCCAGCAGUGGGGGAUAGCCCGGUGAAAGCCGGAUUAAUACCGCAUACGACCUGAGGGUGAAAGCGGGGGACCGAAAGGCCUUGCGCUCUUGGGGCGGCCGAUGUCGGAUUAGCUAGUUGGUGGGGUAAAGGCUUACCAAGGCGACGAUCCGUAGCUGGUCUGAGAGGACGACCAGCCACACUGGGACUGAGACACGGCCCAGACUCCUACGGGAGGCAGCAGUGGGGAAUUUUGGACAAUGGGGGCAACCCUGAUCCAGCCAUGCCGCGUGCGGGAAGAAGGCCUUCGGGUUGUAAACCGCUUUUGUUCGGGAAGAAAUCCUCUGGGCUAAUACCCCGGGGGGAUGACGGUACCGGAAGAAUAAGCACCGGCUAACUACGUG
rnacentral:rRNA from 1 species